GACGAACGCUGGCGGCGUGCCUAAUACAUGCAAGUAGAACGCUGAAGAGAGGAGCUUGCUCUUCUUGGAUGAGUUGCGAACGGGUGAGUAACGCGUAGGUAACCUGCCUUGUAGCGGGGGAUAACUAUUGGAAACGAUAGCUAAUACCGCAUAACAAUGGAUGACACAUGUCAUUUAUUUGAAAGGGGCAAUUGCUCCACUACAAGAUGGACCUGCGUUGUAUUAGCUAGUAGGUGAGGUAAUGGCUCACCUAGGCGACGAUACAUAGCCGACCUGAGAGGGUGAUCGGCCACCCUGGGACUGAGACACGGCCCAGACUCCUACGGGAGGCAGUAGUAGGGAAUCUUCGGCAAUGGGGGCAACCCUGACCGAGCAACGCCGCGUGAGUGAAGAAGGUUGUCGGAUCGUAAAGCUCUGUUGUAAGUCAAGAACGGGUGUGAGAGUGGAAAGUUCACACUGUGACGGUAGCUUACCAGAAAGGGACGGCUAACUACGUG
rnacentral:rRNA from 1 species